GAUGAACGCUAGCGGCAGGCUUAAUACAUGCAAGUCGAGGGGCAGCACGGUUAGCAAUAACUGGUGGCGACCGGCGCACGGGUGCGUAACACGUAUACAAUCUACCUUAAACAGGGGAUAGCCUUUCGAAAGAGAGAUUAAUACCCCGUAAUAAAUUGAACGGCAUCGUUUGAUUUUGAAAGCUCCGGCGGUUUGAGAUGAGUAUGCGUCUGAUUAGCUAGUUGGUGAGGUAACGGCUCACCAAGGCGACGAUCAGUAGGGGAUCUGAGAGGACUAACCCCCACACUGGUACUGAGACACGGACCAGACUCCUACGGGAGGCAGCAGUAAGGAAUAUUGGUCAAUGGAGGCAACUCUGAACCAGCCAUGCCGCGUGCAGGAUGACGGCCCUAUGGGUUGUAAACCGCUUUUAUACAAGAGAAAACCCUGGUACGUGUACCAGGUUGAUAGUAUUGUAAGAAUAAGCAUCGGCUAACUUCGUGCCAGCAGCCGCGGUAAU
rnacentral:rRNA from 1 species